rnacentral:misc_RNA from 1 species
GAAAUGCGAUAAGUAAUGUGAAUUGCAGAAUUCAGUGAAUCAUCGAAUCUUUGAACGCACAUUGCGCCCUCCGGCAUUCCGGGGGGCAUGCCUGUUCGAGCGUCACAAAAGCCCCAUCACACUGGUUGUGGUAAUGGCAGACGUGGACGGCCCCCUCGCCUGGGGCCGCCACGCCGCCGAAAUGAAUGGUGCGGAUGAGUCUCGAUGGCCGGACGUAGUAAAUUUACAACCGUCGGGGAACAUUGGACCCUCCAUCUCGCCCAGACGAUGGUACCCCCCCAUCGCCUCCUCAAUGGUGGACCUCGGAUCAGGUAGGGAUACCCGCUGAACUUAA